ensembl:rRNA 5S_rRNA 5S ribosomal RNA
GCCAGCAGCCAUAUCACUCUGCAACUCACAACUGGCAGCCCACUGAAACUAAGCAGGUGUGAGCCUGGUCAGUACCUGGAUGGGAGACCUCCUGGGAAAAACUAAGGUUGCUGCUGGAA